GCCAGGCUCCAGAGGAACACCCCCAGUAUGAAGAGGCCCGGGAAUGUGGACUCAGGCACGGCCACUGAGUACUCUGCGGAUGCGAGAGGAAGUGUUUGGAAACUGUUGGGGGUGAUGGCUUCAGAGUGACUAUGCUUCAGUGCUGUGAAAGAAGUGAAGUUUGGAGACAGACACGCAGGGAGAACGCCGUGUGAGGAUGAAGGCAGAGCCCAGGCUGAAGCGGCCACAAGCUAAGAAAUGCCAAAGAUUGCCAGCAAACCUCCAGAAGCCGGGGAGGGGCCGGGGCCAGAGUCGCCCUCACAGCCUUGAGAAGACUAACACCUUGACCUUGGACGUGUAGCCUCCAGAGCCACAAGACAAUA